UACGUAGGAGGCGAGCGUUGUCCGGAGUUACUGGGCGUAAAGGGUGCGCAGGCGGCGUUCCGCGUGGCGAGAUGAAAUCUCCCGGCUCAACUGGGAGGGUGCGCCGAAUACUGAAUGACUAGAGUGCGGGAGAGGAAAGUGGAAUUCCUGGUGUAACGGUGAAAUGCGUAGAUAUCAGGAGGAACACCGGUGGUGUAGACGGCUUUCUGGACCGUAACUGACGCUGAGACACGAAAGCGUGGGUAGCAAACAGG
rnacentral:rRNA from 1 species